UACGUAGGGGGCAAGCGUUGUCCGGAUUCAUUGGGCGUAAAGCGCGUGUAGGCGGCCAGGUAGGUCCGGUGUGAAAACUCGAGGCUCAACCUCGAGAGGUCAUCGGAAACCAUCUGGCUAGAGUCCGGAAGAGGAGAGUGGAAUUCCCGGUGUAGCGGUGAAAUGCGCAGAUAUCGGGAAGAACACCCAUGGCGAAGGCAGCUCUCCGGGACGGUACUGACGCUGAGACGGCGAAAGC
rnacentral:rRNA from 1 species